AGGGGGGAGUUUGAACAAACGUUUUACUUACACUAAAAAGAUUCUUUUGAAGAGUCCCUAA
rnacentral:tRNA from 1 species